UUUAACUGAAGAGUUUGAUCAUGGCUCAGAUUGAACGCUGGCGGCAGGCUUAACACAUGCAAGUCGAGCGGGGUGAUAGUGCUUGCACUAUCACUUAGCGGCGG
rnacentral:rRNA from 1 species